rnacentral:rRNA from 1 species
GCAAGUCGAGGGGUAACAGAUAAAGCGCUCGCUCAGAUUGCUGAAGACCGGCGCACGGGUGAGUAACACGUAUGCAACCUACCUUUUACAGAGGGAUAGCCCAGAGAAAAUUGGAUUAAUACCUCAUAAUAUUUUUAACUCGCAUGAGUUUUAAAUUAAAACUUCGGUGGUAAAAGAUGGGCAUGCGUUCUAUUAGUUUGUUGGUGAGGUAACGGCUUACCAAGACUACGAUAGAUAGGGGUUCUGAGAGGAUAGUC